UACGUAGGUGGCAAGCGUUGUCCGGAUUUACUGGGCGUAAAGAGCGCGCAGGCGGUCGUUCAAGUCGAGUGUGAAAGCCCCCGGCUCAACUGGGGAGGGUCACUCGAUACUGAUCGACUCGAAGGCAGGAGAGGGUAGUGGAAUUCCCGGUGUAGUGGUGAAAUGCGUAGAUAUCGGGAGGAACCCCAGUGGCGAAGGCGACUACCUGGCCUGUUUCUUGACGCUGAGGCGCGAAAGCUAGGGGAGCAAACGGG
rnacentral:rRNA from 1 species